rnacentral:lncRNA from 1 species
GGCAGCAUCCUUUUCCUCUCUGCCAGAUUUUUGCCGAAUUAACUGAUGGGAUAUUUUUUUAAAAUUCUAUGGUCCUAUACUGCAGGUAGAGGUUGCAGGACUUCUAAGAGCCUUUAUUAUAUUUAUUUAUUAUACUAAUGGGCAUUUUCCUAUCUCUAGGAGAAAUAAUUAAGAUGUUUCCCGAACAUGUUUCACCACCGCCCAGCCCCUCGUGAAGCACCAAACAGAUGGUCCGUAGAACCCACGGGGGAGCUGCUAUGUGGCACUCAUGAUAUAACUUUACCAGAAGAAACAGGAAUAGAACCACCGGCUGUUGCAAGCACUUUUGUCAUUUACCGUGAGCUCUCAGGCAACAACAUGGAUAGAUCUCAGAAGAAAUAAUGUGGAGCAGGCAAGACUGUGUGCAGAAUGGUAUGUAUACAAUACUGUUUGUGCAUGUUUUAAAA